rnacentral:rRNA from 1 species
UACGAAGGGGGCGAGCGUUGUUCGGAAUCACUGGGCGUAAAGGGCGCGUAGGCGGCCCUCUUUGUCGCGUGUGAAAGCCCCGGGCUCAACCUGGGAACGGCGCGCGAAACGGGGGGGCUGGAGUUCGGGAGAGGAGAGUGGAAUUCCCAGUGUAGAGGUGAAAUUCGUAGAUAUUGGGAAGAACACCGGUGGCGAAGGCGGCUCACUGGCCCGGUACUGACGCUGAGGUGCGAAAGCGUGGGGAGCAAACAGG